rnacentral:miRNA from 1 species
UGCCAAAAUCAAUCAACUCGAC